AUGAUUGAUUUUCGUGAUACUCUGGAAGUUUGUGGACUGGGUGAUCUUGGUUUUGCAGGGCUGCCCUACACAUACGAUAAUAAACGUGCUGGGCGUGCAAACGUCAAGGUCCGCCUUGAUCGGGCGGUGACGACCAAUGCAUGGCGAGAUUUGUUUGAAUUUGCAAAGGUGGACCACCUGGUGGCACCAAGCUCGGAUCAUCUCCCUAUCCUGAUCCGAUGCUCGCGAGAGGAACCGAUGCAAGCUGCUGGCAGGAGGUUUCAGCAAUAUGAAGUCAUGUGGGAAAGGGAGCCAUCGCUCCCGGAGGUAAUUAUGAAAACCUGGACAGACAUGGGGUCUAUGCUUAAUCUUGGGGAUAUUUCCUCCGAUUUGGGUAACCUGAUGAAGAAGUUGCAGGAUUGGAGCCGAAGAAAAUUCGGUAAUGUUAUUAAAGAGAUUAACAAGUCUCGAACACGGCUCGAGGAGCUUCUGUCCAUGAAUGCAGACAGGAAGGAAAUACGGGAGGCGACUGACAGCCUCAACAAGCUCCUGUAUCGCGAGGAAAUGAUG
rnacentral:rRNA from 1 species